GGUUGAUCCCUGCCGGCACCCCACUGGCUAUCCGGGAUGGGCGCUANAGACAUGUCUCAGUCGAGGCGUCUCCAAGCCAUGGUGGAGGCGCGGCACACGGCUCAGUAACAUGUGGCUAACCUGUCCUUGGGACAGGGACAACCCCGGGAAACUGGGGCUAAUCCCUGAUAGGUGAGAACUCCUGGAAUGGAUUCUCGCUCAAAGGGCGUCUAGGCCAUGCUUCUAGGCGUUGCCCAAGGAGGAGGCCGCGGCCGAUCAGGUUGUUGGUGAGGUAAUGGCUCACCAAGCCUUUAACCGGUACGGGCCGUGAGAGCGGUACCCCGGAGAUGGGCACUGAGACAAGGGCCCAGGCCCUACGGGGCGCAGUAGUCGCGAAAACUCCGUAAUUCACGAAAGUGUG
rnacentral:rRNA from 1 species